GACGAACGCUGGCGGCGUGCUUAACACAUGCAAGUCGAACGGAAAGGCCCCUUUGGGGGUACUCGAGUGGCGAAGGGGUGCGUAACACGUGAGUAACCUGCCCUUGACUUCGGGAUAACUUCAGGAAACUGGGGCUAAUACCGGAUAGGAAUCCUUGCUGCAUGGUGGGGGUUGGAAAGCUUCGGCGGUCUUGGAUGGACUCGCGGCUUAUCAGCUUGUUGGUGGGGUAGUGGCUUACCAAGGCUUUGACGGGUAGCCGGCCUGAGAGGGCGACCGGCCACAUUGGGACUGAGAUACGGCCCAGACUCCUACGGGAGGCAGCAGUGGGGAAUAUUGCACAAUGGGCGGAAGCCUGAUGCAGCAACGCCUCGUGCGGGAUGACGGCCUUCGGGUUGUAAACCGCUUUCAGCAGGGGCGAAGCUUGUGGUGACGGUACCUGCAGAAGAAGCACCGGCUAACUACGUG
rnacentral:rRNA from 1 species